UACGUAGGGGGCAAGCGUUGUCCGGAAUCAUUGGGCGUAAAAGCGCGCGUAGGCGGCCCGGUAAGUCCGUUGUAAAAGUCGAAGGCUCAACCUUCGAAAGCCGAUGGAUACUGCCGGGCUAGAGUCCGGAAGAGGCGAGUGGAAUUCCUGGUGUAGCGGUGGAAUGCGCAGAUAUCAGGAGGAACACCCAUAGCGAAGGCAGCUCGCUGGGACGGUACUGACGCUGAGGCGCGAAAGCGUGGGGAGCGAACAGG
rnacentral:rRNA from 1 species